AAUAAGUGCAGCCGUGGAUAUUCGUGCCCAACGUUUGACCGUUCGUCUUAUUUGAAAUUUUUGUGAAAAAAUUGAAAAUAUUUAGUCACACAUAAAGUACUAUUCAUAUUUUAUCAUCUAAUAGCAAUAAAAAUACUAAUCAUAGAAAAAAAUUUUAAAUAGGACGAACGGUACGUGAAUAGUGCAAAACUGCAUUUAUU
rnacentral:pre_miRNA from 1 species